rnacentral:lncRNA from 1 species
UGCAGCCAUGAUGAACUCUAAAUAAAUGUGUGCAUACCAAUGCAAUACAACCCAUUUAAUCACAUAAUACUCACUUGAAGCUUACUUGAGUCUCCACAGCAUCACAUAAUACAAUUCACAAGUGUAACAAUGCAAUAUUUAAAAUGUAACUUAUUUACGACAUGGCAAGCAAAGCAUAGCUCCAUAUAAAAACAUUUUUGAAAACCGUAAAGCUUACAUAUACACUAUAAAAAAGAAAAAGACCCAUUCACCCGAGGUCCGCAUUACAACUCCCUAGCAUAAAUAUCGAGGCAUCAUAAAUGA